UUCUGUCACCUAUGAAACUUAUUCCAGCUUUCCAAAUGCAAAUUCCCACAUUUUGUUCCCAUUUUUUUCAUAUCAGUUUAAUAACCAUUUUGAGUUUCUGCUUGCACUUGUAAGACUUGACAUCCAGGAAUUUUUCAAGGUCGUGGCUGAGAUCCCAGCCUGAGUUCUGGGGACUGAGGUGAUUACUGACAGGACUCACCAAUAGAAGGAAUUUCAUUUUGUUUCUUAAGGGCUUUUUGUAUUACUAACUCACAUUUUGAUAGUCUAUCCAGUAGAUAUUAUUUCCCUUUUUCUAGACCAUGGCGUGUCAGUGUCGCUCAAUAGAAUCAUCAAGUAUUUGAAAGCCAAAGGUAUACAAGUCAAAAAAGUAAGAAAAAGAAAAGAAAAGAAAAAAAAAAUCUCUGUUUUCUGGUCAUUAUAUGCCAAAAAUCAACUGUAAUAUUUGAAAGUUGUGUAUAUAAGAGAAGCAAGCAGGGCUGCUGACCCAGUGAAGGCGGUUUUGAUAGUGUAGCCUGCCAGGUGCUCAGUAGAUAAACAUACCCACACAUGUGCACACACGUGUCAUGCUUCCUUACCUGUGUGCACGCACUUACUGACAUGCAUUGUCUGGGCAUACAGUGUCCCUGCUACUUUCGAGACAAUCAUUUCCCCAAUGCUUAGUGUUUCGUUUUUACUUGGGUAUUUACUAGGGGAAAAAAAAUCCCCAAAUUGAAAUACCUUAAAAAUAAAUGAAGUUCAGUGGCAAAGUGUUUGCUUAGGACAGGCAAGGGGCUUGGCUCCACCCAUAGCAGAGCAAAAUCCAAAGGGAUCAACAGGCAAACCUAGUGCGUUCCUGACCAUGUAAGUAUGUCUCACAUUUUACCCAGGUUGUGCACAAUGGACACUUUCCAAAGAUAAGUCCUAUCAAGACUUUUGAGCUGAAAAUAAACGAAUCACUUAGUAGUUUCAAUGUUAAGCUUCACCUGUGAAGCCCCUGUUAUAUACUACCUGGUGGGUACCUUGCCAACUUUUCCUGUGAAACCAGAUCAACCCAGAGCUCCCCCAUCAUUGUUCAAGAGAAAGGAGUGGGGGUGGGGAGAGGACUCCAGUCUAUAAAGAGUGUAUUAACACAUUAUUGAGUUUUCCUCUUCCCCCCAAAUACAUCACUGUCAACAGAAAAGACAGUCUAAUGGCUGCUGCCCUAGAGGUGCACAAUGAUUGGCUGCUUUUUGUUUGGUAAUCUUUUCAGUUCCCGCUGACACCUUUUAUGCAUUCUGACUCAUGAAAUCCUGACUCGUGAAAACUUUCAGUGAAAUGGCUUUGGGAUGACAGAGAUUCUCUAAGAUGACAGUUUGGAUGAACGAUUUUGUCCAGUGUGAACAUUUCUCUCUCUAACCCAUGCCUUCGUGAGUCUGGGUCCAGUGAGUUCCGACACUGGACACACAGCAGUGUGCUCCCGAGACACCUUCCGUCUCUGCUAGUGUCACAGAGAUGCUCUAACCCUAUGUGAGGUUUCAGAAGGGGGAUCCUCGCUAGGAUACAUCCAGCCACAUCCACUUAAGUAGAGAGAGAUGCUCAGGUGUGCACCCGACUGUAGCUGGCUCUGCUGUCCUCCAAAGCAUUUCCUGUGCACUCCCCCUACCCCAGGAAGGAAACAGAACUGGAUGUUCUCCAGGUGACUAGGCCGUUCUCAUCCAUGUCUACGCACAUCCUCACCGUCCCAUCAGUUACCUCAUGGCAAAAUGUCAGAGGGGAUUCAAUAUAUUUUCAGUUUCCUAGACAGUUGAAAUGAAUUGAUGGGUUGGCUCAUUUGGAAACACUGCUGUGGUUGAGAAGGUGGAAACAGUGGAUGUCCAGGUCAGAUCUGUGCUGUCUGGUGUUUUAGCCGCUGGACACCUGUGGCUAUUAAAUUGAAGUUUAUUCUUGCUCAAAGUUCUGUUUUGUAGUUGCACUACCUGCACUUUGAGUGCCCUGUAACCACAAAUGUAGAGCAUUUCCACCAUCACGAAAAAAUUUCAUUUGACAGCAGUGAACCAGUGUCACUGCUACUAAAUCUGUGGUCCAUGGGCCAUCUAUCAGUCAGCAUCCAUGUUAUCUGGAAGCUUAUAGCAAUGCAGACUGUUGGCGCAGACAAGAUGGCUCAGCAGGUCUGGCAACAGGUUUGAUGCCAGAUGCCAUAUUCAAGUGGAAAGAGAAACACUUGUGGACUUGUCCUCUGACCUCCAUCUUCCCACCAUGGCAUCCUCACCCACAUACACACAAUAAUAGGUACAUAUUUUUAAAUGCAGAACUUCAGAUUCACUCCAGGUCUGCUUCUGGAGUCUUCCUCUUGGUAAGAUUCCGGCCCUUGGGGACAUUAAGCUUCCCCGGUCCCACACUUGGCUUAGUUUGUUCUUGCUCGGUUGCUCAUGACUUAGUUCACACUGAGCAUUUCAGAAGAACAUAUACUGAGAUAAAGGCAUUUUUCAUUUUCUUGUGUCAAUAAAGUACCCAGUGGACAUACUUCAUGCUUGUCAUGCUUGAAGGGACAUAGCAGCCCAUGCAUGUUAUGUGAGUCAUUAGGUAUGCAAAAGGGGGUGGGGGUGGGGGAAGAACCGGGAUGAUUGUAAGAAAAGCGAGUGUGCCAUUUGAACUCUGAAAGCAGGCAUAUUUUUGCUAAAUUUGGAACUCUUUAAACUAUGAUAACUUAUCUUGAUUUUCAUGUGGUUCAAAAUCGCUUAAAAAUAGUUGCUAAAAGAUAGUAUGCUCUUGACCUCCAGAUUCAAAUUAUCCUAAACUGAGAUUUUUUUCCCCAGUGAUUUAUUGUCAGGAUUCUGUCCCUUAAUUAUUUUUAUAUUUUAGUAUAAAUUACCCAAACAUAACUUCCUAGCUUCUUUGCUAUAUAAUCUUUCUAUUUUUACAUGAAUUGACAAGGUAUUAAUAGAAAAAUUAAAAAAAAUAUAUACAUCACUUCUAAAGUAAGUCAUUUAUACCUGCAGCUGAGCUCGAGUGCAUUGUGAACUUUCAUUUUCCAAGGGUGAAUUCUUUAGGGAAAUCAAUUUUAAUUUAGCUGUAAAAAUCAAUCCCUUUUUAAAUUCUAACAUCUGGAGUCUCUCUUGCCCACCCACCCCCCAACCUUAUUCUCUGUCUGUCAACUGUGAGAUUGUUAGAUAUGGGGUUUACGGUUGGUUAAAAGAGAUGGCAGUUUUCAAACUCUACCCAGUACAGUUAGGAAUAGCGGAAUUAGAAAUGGAGCAUCCUCAGAGGGACUGUUGACCCCUGGGGCGGCUUUGCCAUUGGCUUCCUGGUUUCCCUUAUUCUCACUGCCCACCCCAAGGGAGAGAAGCCCUUCCUCUCCCUUGUUUCUGCUGUGGCAUCCCUCAGGUGACUUCUGUGUCACAGUCUCUGUCACAUUGGUAAUGAUACCUUAGCAAUAGGAUUCCUUCACAAAGAAGCAACUAGAACUUUUAAAGAGUGGUAAUUGUUUUCUUAUAUAUAUAAUAAGCAAAACAUUAUUUUUCUUUAUAUUGUUUUCCAAGUUUUGUUUAGAGAUAUUUAUGUUAGAAGAAAAUAUAUAAAAGUUUGUUGAUAUAGAGAACAGAGAGCUAAAGACAGCUGGACUGUACCUAUCUUUUUUUUUUUUUAUAGUACUCUCUGUUAUUUUCAGGUAAAGAAAUGAAACCAAGACUGCAUUAACUCAAUAAUAAUGCUUAAGAUAGACUCCACAGUAUAUGUUAUAGGUGAGCAGCUUACUUCCGUUUAUAUAAUUUAAGAUAUAAUAUUUACAUUAUUUAACAUACUUCUAUUUUUUUGCACUUCCAAGUUUUAGUUGGAAAAGAAAAACCAAACCACAGCCUAAAAAUUAUUUUAAAAUCCACAUAAAAAUAUUUCCUAUUAGCUACAAGUUACCCAUGCAUAAGACUUUGUAAAUAGUCAGGACAUUUCGUAUUAUCUACAUUUCAAGAGUAAAGUAAUCAAACCCAGAAGCACACAGGGUUACUUAUAAAAUGCAUUAAAAUAAAGACAUUUCAUGCUCAACUGAUGCUAUCAAAGUAGAAUAAUGCAGUUCAAUAUGUAAGCAAACCAGGGAGAAGGAGGUUGUGUGACAUUUAGUCUUUGAUGGUAGCGUUGUUCACACAGGUUAGCCAUUGCCACUUCUACAGUCCAAGUACUAACUGCAUAUGCAGCUGAAGGUUGCUCACAGUGCUGAUAGCUGGUAGCUUGUUCUGUGAAAGGUUUGGGGAUUAUAACCAGUUUUGUGAGUUAUAUAUUAUAUACUGCAAAUGACUAAUACAUUGGAGUAAUAUAUUUAUCUAGAGCUGGUAAAUAUGAAAAUUAUUUUCAAACAGUCAAGUGAGAUGGACUGUUUUCUUUAGGUGAGAUAAAAAUCACUUGUAUGUUUAAAUCUCUAUUUGUACAACAGCUUUCUCCUACUGGUGUUAUUAAUUUUCAUACUACGGUUUUUCUUACCUUUUUAUACCAAAAGAAUUACAUGCUGGCUAUUCAAACUUGCCAAUAUGUAUUUGAGUUUGCAAGACUUUUGGCAGAUAAAAUUACUUCAUAACAAGAAGACACAAAAGCUUUGUAUAUUUUGUGGCUUUUGGGGCAAGAAUUGUACCUUUGAUUUUCUCUCUGCAGGGCAGUGCUGACGUGAGCAUUGUCCCUUGACAGUAUUACUUAGAAUGGUUGUAUAAAUCAGUGCCCUUAUUUAUUAUGUUGUGAAAUGUACUCUUUAUACAGAAUGCAUAGUCUAGCUCCUUUCAUUUUUACUGCUGUUGCCUGGAGUGUAAUAGCUCUGUUAAUGGUUGACUUAUAUACUUGAAAUGCUCAUUUCUGUGAAACAGACGCCCAGUGUAUUCCUUCUUUUAAAAAAAA
rnacentral:lncRNA from 1 species